CAGCAGCCGCGGGAAUACGAAGGGUGCAAGCGUUACUCGGAAUUACUGGGCGUAAAGCGUGCGUAGGUGGUGGUUUAAGUCCGUUGUGAAAGCCCUGGGCUCAACCUGGGAAUUGCAGUGGAUACUGGGUCGCUAGAGUGUGGUAGAGGAUAGUGGAAUCUCCGGUGUAGCAGUGAAAUGCGUAGAGAUCGGAAGGAACAUCUGUGGCGAAGGCGACUAUCUGGGCCAACACUGACACUGAGGCACGAAAGCGUGGGGAGCAAACAGGAUUAGAUACCCCCGUAGUCCCUGUCUCUUAUAA
rnacentral:rRNA from 1 species